CCCCUGUGCGGUUUCCCUCCAUGUUAGUGUUUCUUAACCUACAAAUCUGCACUCUCUCUAAGUAAGUUAGAUAGCAGAGCUCCGUUCAAGCUUUUCAUCCGUCACUGUCCGCUAUCCGUGCAGGUAAUAGGUAUAGGUAAGGACCUUGAAGCAUGGCCAAGCAUCAUCCUGAUUUAAUUAUGUGCCGGAAGCAGCCGGGAAUUGCCAUUGGACGACUUUGUGAGAAAUGUGAUGGGAAAUGUGUAAUAUGCGACUCCUACGUGCGUCCUUGUACACUUGUGCGAGUUUGUGACGAGUGCAAUUAUGGAUCCUUCCAAGGUCGGUGUGUUAUUUGUGGAGGAGUGGGUAUCUCUGAUGCCUACUAUUGCAAAGAAUGCACACAGCAAGAGAAAGAUAGGGAUGGAUGUCCCAAAAUUGUUAAUUUAGGGAGUGCCAAAAC
rnacentral:misc_RNA from 1 species